CGAGCAUGAGGUUUAUAACUCAACAGCGAGCAUGAGGUGUAUAACUCGACAGCGACCAUGAGGUGUAUAACUCGACAGCGAGCAUGAGGUUCUCUUUAUUGAAACGUUGCCUUUAUUGGCAGUUUUGCAUUUAUUUCCAACAUGGCCGACAUUUGAAACAUUUAACGAGGUUACCAUUAUUUAACGGAAACAAAACUCAUAGAAAUAUUAUAAAAGUAUCUUUGGCCGAUGUUUC